rnacentral:lncRNA from 1 species
CUAGAACACACUGACAUACAGUAAAUUUACUUAAAAUAAUGGAGAGGCUUUAUAAAAAAUAAAUUUCAUGUAGUUUAAAAAGACAAGACACACCUUAAAAUACAAGUCCUCUGAAAUCAACUUAUCAUCUGACUCCAGUUUAAUAUGCAGAUCUUAAUCUCAAUUCUGCAAUUGCCUUAGAAUGUUUUCUCUCAUGUCAUUGUUUACUUCAGCUAAAAAUAUUGCCUCUGCACAUCCUAGUACAUUUUGUGUUAACCAAAACCUUGAUUUUAAAGCAAGUGCUUUAAAAUUUAUGUUUUAAAGAUGUCAAAAUGUAUGUUUUAAAAAGAUGUUUUCCUUUGUACGAAGCCAACCACUGUGGUUUAUUUCAAAUAUUCACUGACUUCUACUCCAGUAUACAUUCUGAAAAAAAGAAAUUGUGAGCUACUACUGCACUCUUUCUGAAAUGUAGAAAUUGUUCACAAAUACGGCUUAUUAUCCCUAAGGAAAAGAAUCAAAUACGUUUUAUUUUAAGAGGAAACAAAAAGGUAAAAGGUGAAAAAAAAGUGAAGGGCAGAAUGAGUGCAUGAAGACAAUAGAAUGAAAGAUGCCACCACUGUGGAAGACAAGAUAGCAAACCUCUGUACCUACAAUAGGAGGAGAUGUGAGGAAGGCUCUCUUCUACAAAAUCGUAUUGUGCAAGAACUGAAGACUACCCACUGCAUAAGGCAAGUCUCUGUGUAGAAUAACACCGGGAGUUCCUGGAAAUGGAACACAUUUUCUCAGGCCCAUCUGAAAGCUGAGACUAAAAGAAAACUAAUAGCCAACUUGUUAAGCGCAGUUUUCCUGUCAUCAGUACACAAUGUUAAUACUUUCUGAUUUUCAAUGUUCUUUGUCUUCAAGCUAGAACAUAAG